GUGCCUACGGGACGCAGCAGUGGGGAAUAUUGGGCAAUGGGCGCAAGCCUGACCCAGCAACGCCGCGUGAAGGAAGAAGGCUUUCGGGUUGUAAACUUCUUUUAUCAGGGACGAAGCAAGUGACGGUACCUGAUGAAUAAGCCACGGCUAACUACGUGCCAGCAGCCGCGGUAAUACGUAGGUGGCAAGCGUUAUCCGGAUUUACUGGGUGUAAAGGGCGUGUAGGCGGGAGUGCAAGUCAGAUGUGAAAACUAUGGGCUCAACCCAUAGCCUGCAUUUGAAACUGUACGUC
rnacentral:rRNA from 1 species